ACUUUUCCCUAAUUGAUCAUGCUGUCGAGCGGAAGAUGGGAGCUUGCUCCCUGAUGUUAGCGGCGGACGGGUGAGUAACACGUGGGUAACCUGCCUGUAAGACUGGGAUAACUCCGGGAAACCGGGGCUAAUACCGGAUGGUUGUUUGAACCGCAUGGUUCAGACAUAAAAGGUGGCUUCGGCUACCACUUACAGAUGGACCCGCGGCGCAUUAGCUAGUUGGUGAGGUAACGGCUCACCAAGGCGACGAUGCGUAGCCGACCUGAGAGGGUGAUCGGCCACACUGGGACUGAGACACGGCCCAGACUCCUACGGGAGGCAGCAGUAGGGAAUCUUCCGCAAUGGACGAAAGUCUGACGGAGCAACGCCGCGUGAGUGAUGAAGGUUUUCGGAUCGUAAAGCUCUGUUGUUAGGGAAGAACAAGUGCCGUUCAAAUAGGGCGGCACCUUGACGGUACCUAACCAGAAAGCCACGGCUAACUACGUGCCAGCAGCCGCG
rnacentral:rRNA from 1 species